AACUUUUAGCAAUGGAUCUCUUGGCUCUCGUAUCGAUGAAGAACUCAGCGAAAUGCGAUAAGUAAUGUGAAUUGCAGAAUUCAGUGAAUCAUCGAAUCUUUGAACGCACCUUGCGCUUCUUGGUAUUCCAAGGAGCAUGUCUGUUUGAGUGUCACCAACUUCUCAAUCAUGCAAGCUUUAAUCUAAAGCUGGUUUGAAUUGGAUUGUGGAUAUUGCAGGUCCCUUCAUCAAGGGUCUGCUUGUCUGAAAUAUAUUAGCAUAAGUUUUUCAAUCACUUAUCACUGGUAUGAUAAUUAACUUAUACUGCCAUUGGUGUGUUUGACUUGAGCUUCAAGUUCGGUCUGCUUUGCAGACAACUACAUGAAUCAUCUGACCUCAAAUCAGAUAGGACUACCCGCUGAACUUAAGCAUAUCAAUAAGCGGAGGCU
rnacentral:misc_RNA from 1 species